GUCUGUUUGAAGUUAUAAAAAGUCUAACCUGCUCACUGAUAUUUUUAAAGAGCCGCAGUAUUAUAACUGUGCGAAGGUAGCAUAAUCAUUAGGUUUUUAAUUGAAAUCUCGUAUGAAUGGUUGAACAAAUAAGGGACUGUCUUUAUGUUAAAUUUGAAUUUAACUUUUAAGUGAAAAGGCUUAAAUAUUCUAAAAAGACGAUAAGACCCUAUAAAACUUUACAUUAGUUUAAAUAAAAUCAAUUUUAAAAAUAAAGAUUAGUUUAAUUAUUUGUUAUGUUGGGGAGACAAGGGCAUAAAUUUAUAUAACUGCUUUUAUAAAAAAAAACAAAAAUUUUUGGGUAUAAUUGAUCCUUAAUAUUAAGAUCGUAGAUUAAGUUACUUUAGGGAUAACAGCGUUAUUUUUUUUGAGAGUUCUUAUCGAAAAAAAAGUUUACGACCUCGAUGUUGAAUUAAAAUUUCUAUAUAAUGCAGUAGUUAUAUAAGAAGGUCUGUUCGACCUUUAAAUUUUUACAUGAUUUGAGUUCAAACCGGUGUGAG
rnacentral:rRNA from 1 species